rnacentral:rRNA from 1 species
AUUGAACGCUGGCGGCAGGCCUAACACAUGCAAGUCGAGCGAGCGGCGGACGGGUGAGUAAUGUCUGGGAAACUGUCUGAUGGAGGGGGAUAACUACUGGAAACGGUAGCUAAUACCGCAUACCAUCAGAUGUGCCCAGAUGGGAGUAGCUAGUCGGGGGGGUAACGGCUCACCUAGGCGACGAUACCUAGCUGGUCUGAGAGGAGGACCAGCCACACUGGGACUGAGACACGGUCCAGACUCCUACGGGAGGCAGCAGUGGGGAAUUUUGGACAAUGGGCGCAAGCCUGAUGCAGCCAUGCCGCGUGUGUGAAGAAGGCCUUCGGGUUGUAAAGCACUUUCGGCAGGGAAGCGUUACCCGAAGAAGAAGCACCGGCUAACUCCGUGCCAGCAGCCGCGGUAAUAC